GCUGAUGUAGCCUAGUGGUUUGGGUGAAGCGCUGCAUCCUAUUUCGCCAGGGUUCAAGUCCCAGUCUCGGCA